CGCGUAGGCGGGAUGGCAAGUCGGUCGUGAAAUCCCUGGGCUCAACUCAGGGGGGUCGGCCGAUACUGCCGUUCUUGAGGGAUGCAGAGGAGACUGGAAUUCCCGGUGUAGCGGUGAAAUGUGUAGAGAUCGGGAGGAACACCGGUGGCGAAGGCGGGUCUCUGGGCAUUCCCUGACGCUGAGGCGCGAAAGCGUGGGGAGCAAACGGGAUUAGAUACCCCGGUAGUCCACGCGGUAAACGAUGACGACUAGGUGUGGGGGGGUUAAGUCCCUUCCGUGCCGCAGCUAACGCAUUAAGUCGUCCGCCUGGGGAGUACGGCCGCAAGGUUGAA
rnacentral:rRNA from 1 species